GGAUAACCUACCCUUAGGACCGGGAUAACCCUGGGAAACUGGGGAUAAUACUGGAUAGGCAAUUUUUCCUGCAAUGGUUUUUUGUUUAAAUGUUUUUUCGCCUAAGGAUGGGUCUGCGGCCGAUUAGGUAGUUGGUUAGGUAAUGGCUUACCAAGCCGUUGAUCGGUACGGGUUGUGAGAGCAAGAGCCCGGAGAUGGAACCUGAGACAAGGUUCCAGGCCCUACGGGGUGCAGCAGGCGCGAAACCUCCGCAAUGUGAGAAAUCGCGACGGGGGGAUCCCAAGUGCCAUUCUUAACGGGAUGGCUUUUCAUUAGUGUAAAGAGCUUUUGGAAUAAGAGCUGGGCAAGACCGGUGCCAGCCGCCGCGGUAACACCGGCAGCUCUAGUGGUAACAAUUUUUAUUGGGCCUAAAGCGUCCGUAGCCGGUUUAAUAAGUCUCUGGUGAAAUCCUGUAGCUUAACUGUGGGAAUUGCUGGAGAUACUAUUAGACUUGAGACCGGGAGAGGUUAGAGGUACUCCCAGGGUAGAGGUGAAAUUCUGUAAUCCUGGGAGGACCGCCUGUUGCGAAGGCGUCUAACUGGAACGGUUCUGACGGUGAGGGACGAAAGUUAGGGGCGCGAACCGGAUUAGAUACCCGGGUAGUCCUAACUGUAAACGAUGCGGACUUGGUGUUGGGGUGGCUUUGAGCU
rnacentral:rRNA from 1 species